rnacentral:rRNA from 1 species
UACCGCGGCGGCUGGCACCAGACUUGCCCACCCCUUAUUCUACACCAUUUUUAGAGGUGUCAAAAGACUUUCUUAGCGAAAGUCACUCAGAGUAACCCUGUCAGGCUUUCGCCUAUUGCAGAGGUUUCGCGCCUGCUGCGCCCCAUAGGGCCUGGGUCCUUUUCUCAGUACCCAUCUCCGGGCUCCUCCUCUCAGAGCCCGUACCGGUUACAGGUUUGGUGGGCCAUUACCUCACCAACAGCCUGAUCGGACGCAGUCCAAUCCAAAGGCCAUAUAGAUUUUGAUCAAAAACCAUUCCAGGUAUCUUGAUCUAUCGCGGUUUAGCCUCAGUUUCCCGAGUUUAUCCACGUCCUUUGGUUAUGUUGACUACGUGUUACUGAGCCGUGUGCCACGUAUUGCUACGUUGACUCGCAUGGCUUA